GCUUGGGAAACCGGGGCUAAUACCGGAUAUGACCAUGGGAUGCAUGUUCUGUGGUGGAAAGCUUUUGCGGUGUGGGAUGGGCCCGCGGCCUAUCAGCUUGUUGGUGGGUAAUGGCCUACCAAGGCGACGACGGGUAGCCGACCUGGGAGGGUGAUCGGCCACACUGGGACUGAGACACGGCCCAGACUCCUACGGGAGGCAGCAGUGGGGAAUAUUGCACAAUGGGCGCAAGCCUGAUGCAGCGACGCCGCGUGAGGGAUGACGGCCUUCGGGUUGUAAACCUCUUUCACCAGGGACGAAGCGCAAGUGACGGUACCUGGAGAAGAAGCACCGGCCAACUACGUGCCAGCAGCCGCGGUAAU
rnacentral:rRNA from 1 species